rnacentral:misc_RNA from 1 species
GAUGAAGAACGUAGCGAAAUGCGAUAAGUAAUGUGAAUUGCAGAAUUCAGUGAACCAUCGAAUCUUUGAACGCACAUUGCGCCCGCGAGUAUUCUCGCGGGCAUGCCUGUCCGAGCGUCAUUUCAACCCUCAGGGCCCGCCUGCUUGCAGGCGCGGCGCUGGCGUUGGGGAUCGGCCCUAACCGGUCGUCCCCCAAAUACAGUGGCGGUCUCGCUGCAGCCUCCCCUGCGUAGUAGCAACACUCGCAUGCGGAGCGCGGCGCGGCCACGCCGUAAAACCCCCGACUUUCUGAACGUUGACCUCGGAUCAGGUAGGAAUACCCGCUGAACUUAAGCAUAUCAAUAAGCGGAGGA